CUCCCCUCCCCUCCCCUCCCCUCCCCUCCCCUCCUCCUCCUCAUUGAUUUUGGGUCAUAUGAACCUCCAUAUGUUGUCUCCACUGACCCCCUGCGGUGUGGCCUUCCAGCCCAUCAGGUCAGGCCUGUUGAGAGGGUAGCGGGGGUGCGGGGGUGCGGUGUCCGAGGCCAGGGUAGCUCGCUCCAGAACCCCUGUCGUCCUGGAGAUGGAUGGUGGGGGGGGGAGGGGGGGGGAUAGUCUAUGUAAAUCUGACUUUAAAAGGAAAGUAUUUAUGAGCUGGAUCGGGUUGGGGAGAGGAGCUGGAGGACAGAAUGUGUGGGGUGGGACUUGAUGUGCCCUUUUGAGGAGCGUUAUGGAGAAUCAUCUCAGAGGAUGAGUUAGGGCAAGCCACCUUUUGUUGAUAUCCGGUGGACCUCUGGCCUAACGCUCUCGACGUAGUUCCUUCUGUUCUUUGGAGAGGAGCUCUCUGCCCCACCUCUCAAUUAUAGUUCUGUUUUUGGCCCCCAUGGAGCAAUGUGCUGCUUCUUCUUUAGCGGGAAGUCGUGGCUUGCCAAUCGUUCUUAGUAGUGACUCAGCCCUCUGGCUUUUGUAAAUCAUAUUGUUCCCUCUGGUGCAGCCUGUGGGGAGGGAGGGAGGGAGGGAGGGAGAGGGAGGGAGAGAGGGAGGGAGAGAGGGAGGGAGGGAGAGAGAGAGGGAGGGAGAGAGAGAGAGAGAGGGAGAGGGAGAGGGAGAGGGAGAGGGAGAGAGAGAGAGAGAGAGAGAGAGAUUGAAUGAAACAAAUUAAAGACAAAUAAA